rfam:Oryza nivara chromosome 10, whole genome shotgun sequence.
UUUAAAUGCAACCAUAAGUUUCGGCGCCUAAUUUUGAUUGUCCGUCUUAUUUGAAAUUUUUUUAUAAUUAGUAUUUUUCGUUGUUGUGAGAUCAUAAACAUGAACAUGAAUAGUAAUUUACUCGUGACUUAAGUUUUUAAAUUUUUUCAAAUAAAACGGAUGAUCAAAAUUGGAUACGGAAAACCAUAGCUGCACUUAAA